rfam:Pelodiscus sinensis unplaced genomic scaffold scaffold134, whole genome shotgun sequence.
ACUGGGGCCUGUGGUGGGUUCUUGUGAUCCCAGCGCCCGGGCAGGCUGAAGCCAGCGGAUCGCCUGAGCUCAAGAGUCCUGGGCUGCAGGAGGCUGUGCUGAGCAGGUGUCCGCGCUAAGGGUGGCAUUGACAAGGGGGGGGUGUCCCUGUGGAGCUGAGGGUCCCCAGGUUGCCUAAGGAGGGGUGAGCUGGCCCAGGUCGGGAAGGGAGCAGGUCAAAGCCCCUGUGCCGCUUAGUAGUGGGAUAGCACCUGUGAGAAGCUCCUGCAGUGCAAUCUGGGCGAGACAUGGAGACCUGGCCUCUU